GAUGAACGCUGGCGGCGUGCCUAAUACAUGCAAGUCGAGCGAACAGACGAGGAGCUUGCUCCUCUGACGUUAGCGGCGGACGGGUGAGUAACACGUGGAUAACCUACCUAUAAGACUGGGAUAACUUCGGGAAACCGGAGCUAAUACCGGAUAAUAUAUUGAACCGCAUGGUUCAAUAGUGAAAGACGGUUUUGCUGUCACUUAUAGAUGGAUCCGAGCCGUAUUAGCUAGUUGGUAAGGUAACGGCUUAUCAAGGCGACGAUGCGUAGCCGACCUGUGAGGGUGAUCGGCCACACUGGAACGUAGACACGGACCAGACUCCUACGGGAGGCAGCAGUAGGGAACCUUCCGCAAUAGGCGAAAGCCUGGCGGAGCGACGCCGCGUGAGUUGUGAAGAUCUUCGGAUCGUAAAACUCUGUUAUUGGGGAAGAACAAAUGUGUAAGUAACUAUGCACGUCUUGACGGUACCUAAUCAGAAAGCCACGGCUAACUACGUG
rnacentral:rRNA from 1 species